rnacentral:rRNA from 1 species
AUUACCGAGUUUACAACUCUCCAAACCCAAUGUGAACCAUACCAAACUGUUGCCUCGGCGGGGUCACGCCCCGGGUGCGUCGCAGCCCCGGAACCAGGCGCCCGCCGGAGGGACCAACCAAACUCUUUUCUGUAGUCCCCUCGCGGACGUUAUUUCUUACAGCUCUGAGCAAAAAUUCAAAAUGAAUCAAAACUUUCAACAACGGAUCUCUUGGUUCUGGCAUCGAUGAAGAACGCAGCGAAAUGCGAUAAGUAAUGUGAAUUGCAGAAUUCAGUGAAUCAUCGAAUCUUUGAACGCACAUUGCGCCCGCCAGUAUUCUGGCGGGCAUGCCUGUCCGAGCGUCAUUUCAACCCUCGAACCCCCCGGGGGGUCGGCGUUGGGGAUCGGGAACCCCUAAGACGGGAUCCCGGCCCCGAAAUACAGUGGCGGUCUCGCCGCAGCCUCUCCUGCGCAGUAGUUUGCACAACUCG